GACAGAGGCCUCGAGCGUUAGGCGGAAUCACUGGGCUUAAAGCGUGUGUAGGCGGGCCCGUAAGUACCUUGUGAAAUCCCACGGCUCAACCGUGGAACGGCUGGGUAUACUGCGGGUCUUGGGCCAACUAGGGGCAGCCGGAACAAGCGGUGGAGCGGUGAAAUGCGUAGAUAUCGGAAGGAACAUCAGUGGCGAAGGCGACUUUCUGGACAGAUACUGACACUGAGGCACGAAAGCAUGGGGAGCAAACAGG
rnacentral:rRNA from 1 species